rnacentral:rRNA from 1 species
UGGGGAAUAUUGCACAAUGGGCGCAAGCCUGAUGCAGCCAUGCCGCGUGUGUGAAGAAGGCCUUCGGGUUGUAAAGUACUUUCAGUCGGGAGGAAGGUGGUAAGGUUAAUAACCUUAUCAAUUGACGUUACCGACAGAAGAAGCACCGGCUAACUCCGUGCCAGCAGCCGCGGUAAUACGGAGGGUGCAAGCGUUAAUCGGAAUUACUGGGCGUAAAGCGCACGCAGGCGGUCUGUCAAGUCGGAUGUGAAAUCCCCGGGCUUAACCUGGGAACUGCAUUCGAAACUGGCAGGCUAGAGUCUUGUAGAGGGGGGUAGAAUUCCAGGUGUAGCGGUGAAAUGCGUAGAGAUCUGGAGGAAUACCGGUGGCGAAGGCGGCCCCCUGGACAAAGACUGACGCUCAGGUGCGAAAGCGUGGGGAGCAAACAGG